GAUGAACGCUGGCGGCGUGCCUAAUACAUGCAAGUCGAGCGAACAGACGAGGAGCUUGCUCCUCUGACGUUAGCGGCGGGCGGGUGAGUAACACGUGGAUAACCUCCCUGUAAGACUGGGAUAACUACGGGAAACCGGAGCUAAUACCGGAUAAUAUAUUGAACCGCAGGGUUCAAUAGUGAAAGACGGUGUUGCUGUCACUUAUAGAUGGAUCCCCGCCGCAUUAGCUAGUUGGUAAGGUAACGGCUUAUCACGGCAAGGAUGCGUAGCCGACCUGAGAGGGUGGUCGGCGACCUUAGAGCGGGGACGCGCACCAGACGCCUACGGUACGCCCCAGUAGGCUACCUUACGCAGUGGGCGAGAACCUUACGCAGCGGGCCCGCGUCAGUUGUGGAGGUCUUCGGAGCGUAAAACUCUGUUUUUAGGUAAGAGCAGCUUUGGAAUUAACUGUGCACUUCUUGACGGUACCUAGUCAGAAAGCCCCGGCUAACUACGUG
rnacentral:rRNA from 1 species